CGGGGAGGUAGUGACGAAAAAUAACGAUACGGGACUCAUCCGAGGCCCCGUAAUCGGAAUGAGUACACUUUAAAUCCUUUAACGAGGACCAAUUGGAGGGCAAGUCUGGUGCCAGCAGCCGCGGUAAUUCCAGCUCCAAUAGCGUAUAUUAAAGUUGUUGCGGUUAAAAAGCUCGUAGUUGAAUCUGUGUGUCACAGUGUCGGUUCACCGCUCGCGGUGUUUAACUGGCAUUAUGUGGUACGUCCUACCGGUGGGCUUAGCUCCUUGCGGGCGGUCCAACUAAUAUCCCAUCGCGGUGCUCUUCAUUGAGUGUCGAGGUGGGCCGGUACGUUUACUUUGAACAAAUUAGAGUGCUUAAAGCAGGCUACCUUCGCCUGAAUACUGUGUGCAUGGAAUAAUGGAAUAGGACCUCGGUUCUAUUUUGUUGGUUUCCGGAACCCCGAGGUAAUGAUUAAUAGGGACAGAUGGGGGCAUUCGUAUUGCGACGUUAGAGGUGAAAUUCUUGGAUCGUCGCAAGACGGACAGAAGCGAAAGCAUUUGCCAAAAAUGUUUUCAUUAAUCAAGAACGAAAGUUAGAGGUUCGAAGGCGAUCAGAUACCGCCCUAGUUCUAACCAUAAACGAUGCCAGCUAGCGAUCCGCCGAAGUUCCUCCGAUGACUCGGCGGGCAGCUUCCGGGAAACCAAAGCUUUUGGGUUCCGGGGGAAGUAUGGUUGCAAAGCUGAAACUUAAAGGAAUUGACGGAAGGGCACCACCAGGAGUGGAGCCUGCGGCUUAAUUUGACUC
rnacentral:rRNA from 1 species